rnacentral:rRNA from 1 species
GACGAACGCUGGCGGCGUGCCUAAUACAUGCAAGUAGAACGCACAGUUUAUACCGUAGCUUGCUACACCAUAGACUGUGAGUUGCGAACGGGUGAGUAACGCGUAGGUAACCUGCCUGGUAGCGGGGGAUAACUAUUGGAAACGAUAGCUAAUACCGCAUAAUAUUAAUUAUUGCAUGAUAAUUAAUUGAAAGGUGCAUUUGCACCACUACCAGAUGGACCUGCGUUGUAUUAGCUAGUAGGUGAGGUAACGGCCCACCUAGGCGACGGUACAUAGCCGACCGGAGAGGGUGGUUGGGCGAACUGGGACUGGGACACGGCCCAAGACCCUACGGGAGGCAGCAGUAGGGGAUCUUCGGCAAUGGACGAAAGGCUGACCGAGCAACGCCGGGUGAGUGAAGAAGGGUUUCGGAUCGGAAAGCUCGGUUGUAAGAGAAGAAAGGGGGGGAGAGUGGAAAGUUCACACUGUGACGGUAUCUUACCAGAAAGGGACGGCUAACUACGUG